rnacentral:rRNA from 1 species
AGAGUUUGAUCAUGGCUCAGGACGAACGCUGGCGGCGCGCUUAACACAUGCAAGUCGUGCGAUACCUCGAGCAAGUCUUACGACAAGCUCAAGGUGUAGCGGCGGACGGGUGAGUAACACGUGAGUAGCUGUCCUAAGGAGGGGGAUAACGCCUGGAAACGGGUGCUAAAACCCCAUAUGCCUCGCAAGAGGUGAAAGUGUAGCUUGCUACAGCCUUAGGGUGUGCUCGCGGCCUAUCAGCUAGUUGGUGAGGUAACGGCUCACCAAGGCUAAGACGGGUAGCCGGCCUGAGAGGGUGUACGGCCACACUGGAAUUGAGAUACGGUCCAGACUCCUACGGGAGGCAGCAGUGGGGAAUCUUGGGCAAUGGGCGAAAGCCUGACCCAGCGACGCCGCGUUGGGGAUGAAGCCCUUCGGGGUGUAAACCCAUGUUGUAGGGGACGAAGAAAGUGACGGUACCCUACGAGGAAGCCCCGGCUAACUACGUGCCAGCAGCCGCGGUAAGACGCAGGGGGCGAGCGUUGUCCGGAAUUACUGGGCGUAAAGGGCACGCAGGCGGUGCGCCAAGUCGAGGGUGUAAAGUUACGGCUCAACCGUGACAUUGCAAUCGAUACUGGCGCACUGGAGUGCGGGAGAGGGAAGUGGAAUUCCCGGUGUAGCGGUGAAAUGCGUAGAUAUCGGGAGGAACGCCAGUGGCGAAGGCGGCUUCCUGGCCCGCGACUGACGCUCAUGUGCGAAAGCCAGGGGAGCGAACCGGAUUAGAUACCCGGGUAGUCCUGGCCGUAAACGAUGGGUGCUAGGUGUAGGCGCGUCAAGCGUCUGUGCCGAAGUUAACGCGUUAAGCACCUCGCCUGCGGAGUACGGUCGCAAGGCUGAAACUCAAGGGAAUUGACGG